UCUUUCUCUCCGUGUUGUUAAUCUGAUGCUCGGCUACAAUGGGCGUUUGAUUUUAAAAGUCACAAAGGGAAACGGGCAUGUCAUAUAAAUAUCACUCCAUGGAAGAGCGGCCCCACUAUGUGAACCAGCUGACUUUCUCUCUAUGCAGGGGAACUUCAUCUCUAUGUAGAGGAUUGUCAAAAGGUGAGUGUUUGAACGGAUAACAUCGAAGCCAAACAUCAACCCCGAUGGCCUGCAAAGGACUCCUAAGUGUGUUACAUUUCAUCUUGCGUGACCUGCUGAGACUGUCUGCUCUAUGAAGACAUAAAAGAAAUGAGAGAUUAAAAAUACAUUUAGAGGCCAGAGAGAUGGUGAAGAGCCCUUGCUGCUACUCCAGAGGACAAGGGUUGAGAGAAUGAGGAAGAAACCAGAAGACAACCACAAGGAUACAGAUCCCUGAUCAUGGAAAGAAAUAGUCCAACAAGAAAUCAUUUAUAGCCACUGUAUUGAAAGAAAAGAGCAGAUAAAAGCAAACCUCCAGCAACUGCAAGGACCUUUAAAUUGUGUGGACUGAACUGUGUCCCUUUAAACCUUAUAUUCAUAUAUUGGUACCCCACAACAGCUCCACCCUACCAUGAGGUUACAUUGAAGAUAAAACUUUUGAGGGGCUCAGGUUAAAUGAGUCAGUCAACAUGGACACCCGACCAAAAAAGAGCAUUGUCCUCAUAAAAGUGAGGGAAAUACCAGGAACUUUUCUGCCUUGUGAGCAAUGCAUGAAGGUGACUGUUUUGUGAGCCAGGAAGAGAACAGCUCUUGCAUGAACUUGAUCAUGGACUUUCCAGCACCCAGAACUAUGAAAAAGAAAUCUGUUAUUUAUCCACCUAUUUGAUGGACUUUUACUGUGGCAGCCUGAGCAGAGGUAAGAGGGAUAUAAGGCCCAUGUGGAAAGAGUGCUCAGUGGAUAAAGUACUUGCCGUGUAAGCAGUAGCUUCCCCCAACAUCUACAGAAAAGCUCGUGUCUGUAUCCUCAUCUGGGGAGAAAAACAUGGACUGCUCCCUUGAGUUAACUCAUUGGCCAGUCUAGACAAUCACUGGCUCCAAAUUCAGUGAGAGACCCUGCCUCAAGAAAUAAGAUGGGGAGAGACUGAGGAAGAGACCCGACAUCAACCUUUGACCUCCACACAUCUGCUCAUAUGUAUGGAUGCACUUUCACAUACAAAUGUGUCUGAACUCAAGUAGACAUGUACACACACACACACACACACACACACACACACACACACACACAAAGAGCCAAGUGAUGAUGGCUGGUUAGAGUAGACACAAGUAGUCUGCCAUGGCCAUGCAAGGCCACCGAGAUGCAAAUACACACAGCAAGACCACGAUGAGUUUGCACACUGGAGAAACAGAAGAGAGAGGCUCGAAGGCACAGCGUAGAAACAAUGAAGUUGAGAGCAGGCUGACAACAGUUAGGGACCAAAAGACAGAUGAAAUCCCUGAGAAGUAUAGAGGGGCUUCACACGCUCAUCAACGGCAUAAAUUUAGAGCCAGGUAUGGGCUCAUAGAUAUCCCAUUAUUCUUUAAAGUACACAUGCAUGUACUUUAUGUAACAUGUAUUAUUAGCAAUUGAAACUUAAAUGAACAGUAAUAUCUGAAGUAUAUAAUUCAGUAGUUUUAUUCAGCACAGUCCAACAUUUUUUUUUUGCCAACAAUUUUGAAUCUUUCCUCUUGUGUGCUCAUGAUUUGUUUCAUUUUGUUUUUUGUAAUUUAAAAAAAGGUUGAUGAGA